GACGAACGCUGGCGGCGUGCUUAACACAUGCAAGUCGAACGGUAAACGAGGGAGCUUGCGCCCUCCGGGACAGCGGCGAACGGGUGAGUAACACGUGAACAAUCUGCUCCGCAUUCGGGGAUAAGCGGGGGAAACGACGUCUUAUACCGUAUAAGACGCGGGAGGGCAGCCUGUCCGCGAGGAAAGAACUUCGGUUGGGGAUGGGCUCGCGGCCUAUCAGCUUGUUGGUGGGGUAGCGGCUCACCAAGGCGACGACGGGUAGCCGGCCUGAGAGGGUGACCGGCCACACUGGGACUGAGAUACGGCCCAGACUCCUACGGGAGGCAGCAGUGGGGAAUAUUGCACAAUGGGCGCAAGCCUGAUGCAGCAACGCCGCGUGAGGGACGACGGCCUUCGGGUUGUAAACCGCUUUUAGCAGGGAAGAAGCGAAAGUGACGGUACCUGCAGAAGAAGCACCGGCUAACUACGUG
rnacentral:rRNA from 1 species